GGGGUUGUAGCUCAGUGGUAGAGUGCUUUCCUAGCACAUAUGAGGCAACUGGUUCAACCCUCAGCCCCA
rnacentral:tRNA from 1 species